ACUGAGGUUUCCUUGGAUUAGACCAAGAUUGACCCGCUGAGUACAAAAGCAGAAGGGAGCUUGAUUACAAGAUCCACCCCUCGAACAAAGGAGGAAAGUCGGCCUUAGUGAUCUAAUAAUACCAAGUGGAAGGGUUGUCGCUCAA
rnacentral:ncRNA from 1 species